GAUGAACGCUGGCGGCGUGCCUAAUACAUGCAAGUCGAGCGAACAGACGAGGAGCUUGCUCCUCUGACGUUAGCGGCGGACGGGUGAGUAACACGUGGAUAACCUACCUAUAAGACUGGGAUAACUUCGGGAAACCGGAGCUAAUACCGGAUAAUAUAUUGAACCGCAUGGUUCAAUAGUGAAAGACGUUUUUGCUGACACUUAUAGAUGUAUCCGCGCCGCAUUAGCUAGUUGGUAAGGUAACGGCUUACCAAGGCAACGAUGCGUAGCCGACCUGAGAGGGUGAUCAGCCACACUGGAACUGAGACACGGUCCAGACUCCUACGGGAGGCAGCAGUAGGGAAUCUUCCGCAAUGGGCGAAAGCCUGACGGAGCAACGCCGCGUGAGUGAUGAAGGUCUUCGGAUCGUAAAACUCUGUUAUUAGGGAAGAACAAAUGUGUAAGUAACUAUGCACGUCUUGACGGUACCUAAUCAGAAAGCCACGGCUAACUACGUG
rnacentral:rRNA from 1 species